UAGAUGGUGCUGCAGAAUAUAUUGAAAACAAAGUAAAACUUUAUUGUCCAAUCCUCAAACGAUAGGAUGGAAGAACUCAGAUUCCUCCUCUCAGGAUGGGUGAUUAUUAGGGAAAUAGGGGUGGUAUGUGUAGGAGAUGUGUAGGAGCAGCCAAACCUAACAAAUGUGUAUUAUUGCUAGUUAGCAUGUGAAAGGGCUAAGUCCACAGAACUGUAUUGCUGAUAGGCAGAUACUCAGACUAUAGAAAUACAAUUGAUAGAGAGAGCUCAAUCAUUCCUCCUCCUCUCCUGGAGAGAAAUGAUCAUAUAGUACUUCCUGUUCCUUCUUCCCUCCCCGCUCUUUCUUUCUUUUUCCUCUUUCUUCUCUCUUUCUUUGACCAACCAUGAGGGCAGGUGUACCCUGUGCUUGCUCCAGCUUUAGGUGCAUCUUAUGGUCUGGUGCGUCUUAUAGAGAGAAAAAUAUGGUAUUUUGCCUGCACAGUUUUUACAGCUGUCAUUGCUGUGAACAAAUGAGUGAUUUUAAAAAUCAUAGAUUUGCAGAGUUGGAAAAGACGCUGAGGGUCAUCUAGUCCGACCCCCUACAAUGCAGGAAUCUCAGCUACAUGACAGGUGGUCGCAUCUAUUCUUCAGACUGCAUCAAUUUAAUGUUUUGCUUUGAAAUCUUUUAGAUAAUAUUUUAGUAUCCUGUUAAUGAUAUUGCUUUGGAUGUACUUUCUUCUGUAAUGUUUUAUUCUGGAUUGCUUUAUGCCAUGUUUUAAUGUGGGUAGUAAACCACUUUUGAGGUUUUUUUUAAAAAAUGAAGCAGUAUAGAAAUGAAAUAAAAAUAAGAAUAAAAAUAUCAAGAUGAUCAAAACCUGGAUCUUGGCAGGGAAGAAUGCUGUUUUCUCAAGCCAAUUGGCAUUAUGGAUUCUAUAGGGAUGGCAACUUUUGUUUGCCAGGAAAUGUGCAUAUAUAAAAAAGUCUCCCAUCAAUGACAAUUCAGAACCAAUUCACAAGAAGAAAUUCUGAAAAUACUCAACAAUAGACAUUUCAAAAGUCAAAACUUGACCUCAGCACUUCAAUCUCCUGCCUUACUUGUUUUUCCUAUCUUUAGAAAACUCCCUAGCCAGGAUCCUCUUUUUUGUGUAUGUAUUUUUCCUUUUCUUGGUGUGUGUGUGUGUUAGGGUUAGUUUGUUGUAGAGUAAUUCCUUCAUUCCAAUUUCUGUUCCACUUUCCAGGUUUUCUCUUCACAACAGCAAUAACAUCCUAAGCUGUAUAACAUUUUAUAAAAUGAUAAA